GCAAAUCACUGCAGUUGUUAAGUGAAUCAUGCAGUUGUUAAGCACAUCUGGCUUCCCCCAUUUAUUUUGCUUAUCAGAAGCCAGCUGGAGAGGUUACAAAUGGUGAUCAUAUGACUUCCAUGGCCAUGCAACAUGCUAGCUGCCAAGCACCCAAAUUUUAAUCAUGGGACGGCUGUAGUGGUCAUAAAUGUGAAAACUGAUCACAAGUCACUUCUUGAAUGGUCAUUAAACAGAUGGUUGUAAGUCAAAGACUACCCGGAUUAAUUUGAAGAAGAAAAAUGUACUUUACUACCACCAACGGGGUUGAGGCCUCCACUGCCAGACAGAUUCAGUAAUAGAGAAACCAGCCUGGGACAGGAGCAGUCCUGAGGGACAGCUCACUCCGCUCCGGGGUUCCCUCAGCCUGACUGGAGAGAUUUCUCAUUUGCUGUAGAGUCAGGCUUGACAUAGUGCUGAGUUACAGCCACAAGGUGGGAGGUGACUUUUGGAAUUUCAGACCAGGCAGAAAUUAGAGCCCUGUGGCUCCUGUGACGGAGGAGGAGAGGGGAAAAGACAGAGGCAGCAUCUUCCGUCACAAGUCAGCUUGUAAAGGCAAGGGCUGACUUGUUCAAAGAGCCAUUGCUGCUGCUGCUGCCGCUUCUAUGUGGGUGGAUUUGGCAAUUGACAGCGUAGGCGGUGAUCUAAGUGUAUUUCUGAUGACGACAAAGAGGACGGCAUGCUUAUUGGCUGCUGGGGAGGGGACGAGGAGAGAAUUCCUGAUGGGACGCCCACUUGCUCAUAAGUUUGUAUCUCGUAGCUGGAAUGGGAGAUGAAUACGGGGACUUUCAGAAAGGUAUCCUUUAAUUAUUUAUUUUCUUGGUUUCGCUGUUGAAUUUUACUUUACAAACCAAAAGUAUAAAUGUAAGAAUUAUUUUUUCUUAUGAACCUAUUCAGAUUUGCCCGUGUCGGGUUUGUCCUCUUUGUUUUCCAUGGCAGAGUCCCAUAAUCAUCCCCUUCAGACAUUUUUUUCCUUGGGUUGAGCUCUCCGUUAUGGAUUUCCUGAGGCUGGGGCAGGAGCAGCCCCCCCCAAAAGAAAUCAUCUGCAAGAUCGGGAGAUACUGAAAUCAAGCCAUUAUAUGAAGGUCUAAUCUGGAUCGCUUGUUUCAGCAGAAUAUUUACUGUAAACACAACUGUGUUUUUGUAACUCAUGGAUUGUGAUGUUAUGUGAACUCGGCAUCAAAGUAGGAACUCUGACUUUAGGCAGGAAUCGCACAAAGUAAAACCUUGGCUUUAAUCCCAGGCUGAAGAACCUGAGAUCACAUCAACAAAGGCGAUCAACCACAGUUAGGUAACUAUACCAACAAUCCAAUUGUUGGGUUUGUAAUCAUAUAACAAUCAAAUAUAGUCUAAUUGCUCUACAAAAUAAAUAAAUAGAUGCACAGCCUGACAUCACUUUAUUAGAAAACUUUUUUUUUCUUUCACAAAGAAAUCUUGUUUGUUUUUUUACAAUUCUCUUUUUCUACCAUUUGACACUGGUCCGAUCUUUACCUGAAACUACUAGGAGAAGCCACAAAUGACUUUUGCCUCAAGAAGUCUUGAUGGGAGUUUGAGAGGCUCUAAGGAUCUGGCACAUUUGCCCAUGGAAAGAGACAGAUGCAGUUAGCUGGCUUACAUCAUCUUAAGUGUGGAAGAUGAACAAUUCUUAAAUGUAGCUGACUUAAAAACUGCAAAACUUUGGCUGAAGUUGAGAAGUGUGCACGUGAGUGUGUCAGCAUGCAGUAUAGUGCAAUUAUCAAGGCAAUUGUACAGAGCCUGAUUGCUGCCAUGAGAGAGCAUAGAAGAGCAUUUGUUCCACAUGCAGAAACUGCUCGUUGAAUUAGAAAAGCGAGGAAUGCAGAUUCCUGAAUCUCAGAAGGUGCUGUUGGUACUAGUCUUGAUGAAACGUGGGCCAUCAUUUCAAGGAACAGAGAGAGCAAAACAGCAGACCGACUGUCCACAGAUAUCGGAUUACAUCUCAGCAGAUAAUUACCAAGAAGAACAGGAGAAAAAGAAAUGCUUCAUUUGUGGGAUUGAAACUCACUUUAAGACUGUUUACAAGGAAGAACAGCAAAUGAACAAGCUGCUGUUGCAAAAGUUAUCUAUUGUAAUAGUAGAGACAAAUGUUAACAGACAGUGGGGCUAGUCAAACAAUUGUUAAUGAUUCUAAGUUCUUUUCCAGAUUGGAUUCAACUGGAGAUGCAAUGGCCUUAGCAAAUGGCCAGAAGGUAAAAGUCAUGGGGAAAGACAGUGUGCUGAUUCCAUGUCUGGAGGAAAGGUUUAAUAAUGUAUUAUGUGUACCUGAAAUGGAGCAUAAUUUACUGUGUCUCUAGUCUUGACAAACAAGGGUUUGAGACCACAUCUGUAAAUGGGAAAUGUCUCAUAAAAAGAAAUGGGAAUGUAUGUGCACAGGGCAUAAAACAAGAUAAUCUUUACGUGUUGCAGGCACAAAAGAUUCAAUGUGCCCAAACAUUUGAUAAUGUGGCACAUGAUUCAUGCAUCCAUAUCUUGCACAGAAAGCUUGGCCAUUCCAGCUUCAGGGUGUUGCAUAAGAUGCCAGAGUUUGCAGAGGGAUUAACCUUUAAAGGAUAUAAAGCAGGGCUUUUCAACCUUUUCACUGACUGUACCACUUUUAGAAUAUGGCAAUAUUCAAGUACCACCAGUUGCCUAGUAAGGUAUCCAAAACUUGAUGGAAAAAAAAAAAAAGGUG